rnacentral:tRNA from 1 species
GUCCCUGUAGUUCAAUGGAUAGAACAAGAGUUUCCUAAAUUCUAGAUCCAAGUUCGACUCUUGGUGGGGACA